GUUAAUGAUCUUCCUUCCAACAAGGAGUCCUUUUUCUUUUUAAUUGCUAAAUUGGAGAAACAAAUGGAUCGUCCUAGCAGAAGUGGAUAGGAGGCCGCAGCAGAGCCAGCAGUUUUGCAUUCAUCUGUUUUCAGUCUGUCUUGCAUGAUUUUGCACCCUUUCCUUUUUUACUCACAACAGCGGUGACCUUGUGGAAAUCAGGAACCAAUUUGAUGGAGAAAGGUUUUUCCGUGGAGCAAAGGGGGCAUGGUUUUGUGUGCUGCCUGCAUCCCAUGGAUUCGGCUUUGCUUCUUUGCACAACCCAGUUGCUGGCAUGAUGCGGACCAGUCCAUGGACCAGGAGUUGGGGACCUCUGCUCUACAACACUCAAAGGUUAGCACAUCCAAAUUUCUCUUCUUAUCCAA